rnacentral:rRNA from 1 species
UAGACGAUAAGUCAACGGCAGGUUCAAAUCGCAAUGCGAGGGGAACAGGUAUUAUUUAUAGAUGUGACGACCGGCGCACGGGUGAGUAACGCGUAUACAAUUUACCUUUUACUGGAGAAUAGCCCAGAGAAAUUUGGAUUAAUGCUCCAUAGUAUUGAUUGGUCACCUGGCCGAUUGAUUAAGGUUUCGACGGUAAAAGAUGAGUAUGCGUCCUAUUAGCUAGAUGGUAAGGUAACGGCUUACCAUGGCGACGAUAGGUAGGGGUCCUGAGAGGGAGAUCCCCCACACUGGUACUGAGACACGGACCAGACUCCUACGGGAGGCAGCAGUGAGGAAUAUUGGGCAAUGGAGGCAACUCUGACCCAGCCAUGCCGCGUGCAGGAAGACUGCCCUAUGGGUUGUAAACUGCUUUUAUACAGGAAGAAACUUAUCCACGUGUGGAUAACUGACGGUACUGUAAGAAUAAGGACCGGCUAACUCCGUGCCAGCAGCCGCGGUAAUACGGAGGGUCCAAGCGUUAUCCGGAAUCAUUGGGUUUAAAGGGUCCGUAGGCGGGCAAUUAAGUCAGAGGUGAAAUCCCACAGCUCAACUGUGGAACUGCCUUUGAUACUGGUUGUCUUGAGUUAUAGUGAAGUAGAUAGAAUAUGUAGUGUAGCGGUGAAAUGCAUAGAUAUUACAUAGAACACCGAUUGCGAAGGCAGGUCACUAACUAUCGACUGACGCUGAUGGACGAAAGCGUGGGGAGCGAACGGGAUUAGAUACCCCGGUAGUCCACGCCGUAAACGAUGGAUACUAGCUGUCCGCUGCCUUGAGCAGUGGGCGGCCCCAGCGAAAGUGAUAAGUAUCCCACCUGGGGAGUACGUUCGCAAGAAUGAAACUCAAAGGAAUUGACGGGGGCCCGCACAAGCGGUGGAGCAUGUGGUUUAAUUCGAUGAUACGCGAGGAACCUUACCAGGGCUUAAAUG